AACGCGAAGAACCUUACCUGGGCUUAACAUCCCCUGACCGCGGCAGAGAUGUCGUUUUCCCUUCGGGGACAGGGAGAUAGGUGCUGCAUGGCUGUCGUCAGCUCGUGUCGUAAGAUGUUGGGUUAAGUCCCGCAACGAGCGCAACCCUUGUUCUUAGUUGCCAUCAUUAAGUUGGGCACUCUGAGGAGACUGCCGGUGUUAAACCGGAGGAAGGCGGGGAUGACGUCAAGUCCUCAUGGCCCUUACGUCCAGGGCUACACACGUACUACAAUGGCAGAGACAAAGGGUCGCAAAGCCGCAAGGUGAAGCUAAUCCCAAAAACACUGUCUCAGUCCGGAUUGAAGUCUGCAACUCGACUUCAUGAAGCUGGAAUCGCUAGUAAUCGCAAAUCAGCACGCUGCGGUGAAUACGUUCCCGGGCCUUGUACACACCGACGCAC
rnacentral:rRNA from 1 species